GAGAGUGUAGAGAUUAGUGAGAGGAAAGUGUAGAGAUUUGAGAGAGAAAGAAGAGAUUAGAGUGAGAAGAUGCAUUAAUUGCAUAUAUUCUCUAAGAUUUUCAAAUCUUAGCCAAGAUCAAUUUCAUAUCUUGCAAAUAUUUCUCUCACCUUUCCUCCACCCCAUUUUCGAUCUCUCUCCCUCUCCCUCAUCUCUCACUUCACUUUCCUCCAUUGUUAGCCAUUGAUGAAACCUUCGAAGCUUCACCCAAGUAUGCCAAACACAUAAAUCACUACUUAAAUCCUCCAUAAACACAUCCUAUUAACUUGAAUUCAAGAGAAUCCUUGAAGGAAGGCUUCAAGACUAGAGAGAGAAAGUUUGAGUUUUGGUGAAGAACUUGAACACGAGCAGAGCAAGGAAGUAAGUAACUCCACUUUGACGGGAGUUUUUGAGUAAGGUCUUCAGGCUAAGCGAGGAGUGAGAUUGGUCUGGUGCUGGUGGGGAAUCGUUAGAUGACGUAUUUGCUUUAUCGUAUUUUCUUUUUAUCGAUAAAGUCCCGAUGUGAAGUUACUUUGAAUAUGAAUCAAGUAAUAUACUCACGGUUAUGUGUCUCCAUACAUGUAACUGGUUCGCCUUUUGCUGCGAUACUCUGCAUAUUAUGUUUCCUUAUGAAAAAUAAGCUAUACCUGUUUUGUUUUUGUUCGUGAAAUUCCUGAUAAUUAAAAAGUUAUAACGACGUUGACGAUUUUACCCUUGGGUUCAAUUGAUAAUAUUUUCCUUAGCAUGCUUUGAUGUGAGCUUCCGCUUGAUGUUCGACCUACUCUUCUAUUCCUUUAUUCUUUAAAAAUAGU